rnacentral:lncRNA from 1 species
CAUAUAUAAUACAUAUUGUAGUAUAUGUCUCUUUAAAAAAAAAUUAUAUGUUUUAUAAACAGAGUGAAUUAUGACUCGUGCAAUUCCAGAAGUUUCAAAGCGAUACUCGAAGGAAACGAUCGUUUUAUGCGAAUGAACCAUCAUAACUUACCGAGAAACAAGAUUUUGAUGGAUAAAGUAAUUUACGCAGUACACCAAACAGAGCUCGAGAAAUUAUUAAAAUACAUGUAUAAUAAAUGAUAUUACCAAUAUGCCAAAACCAAUCCCAAAG